UCAGAAAUGCAGAAGGUCAGGGAAG
rnacentral:piRNA from 1 species